CUCAUAGCGUAUAUUUAAGUUGUUGCAGUUAAAAAGCUCGUAGUCGGAUUUUGGCUGAGAACGAACGGUCCGCCGUUAGGUGUGCACUGUUUGGUCUCAGCUUCCUGGUGAGGAGGUGUGCUUCACGGCCACUUAGUCACCGUGGUUACUUUGAAAAAAUUAGAGUGUUCAAAGCGGGCUUACGCUUGAAUAUAUUAGCAUGGAAUAACACCAUAGGACUCCUGUCCUAUUUCGUUGGUCUCGGGACGGGAGUAAUGAUUAAGAGGAACAGUUGGGGGCAUUCGUAUUUCAUUGUCAGAGGUGAAAUUCUUGGAUUUAUGAAAGACGAACUUCUGCGAAAGCAUUUGCCAAGGAUGUUUUCAUUGAUCAAGAACGAAAGUUGGGGGCUCGAAGAUGAUUAGAUACCAUCCUAGUCUCAACCAUAAACGAUGCCGACUAGGGAUUGGCGGAUGUUAAUUGAUGACUUCGCCAGCACCUUAUGAGAAAUCAAAGUUUUUGGGUUCCGGGGGGAGUAUGGUCGCAAGGCUGAAACUUAA
rnacentral:rRNA from 1 species